GGUUGACAAGCACAUACCUUUCACUCUGUAGAUGAGGAAACUGAGACACAGAAAGAGGAAACUGAUCAUCCGCUUGUUCCCAGUCCUGGUCCAGUAUGCCCACAGGCAUCUGAAGGUCUCUGAAGGUCUCACCAGCCUCUGUGGUUGGUCACCUCGUCCUUCCAUGGGCAGAGUGAGUGGACUCGGAUUCCCGCUGUGAUCCUGUCUGGAAGGAGACAAACCCUUCAUCCAGCUCAGGGCCAGGAGUGCAUUGCAGCGCUGAGGACCAUAUGAGACAGUGAACAGGAGAGGCCCAGACUUGCUGCUCUUGCCUCAGUACCCCCCCCACGGUGGUCCUGGGCCCGCGGCAGAGAACUGAGCUCGUCUGGUAGUAAAUACUGUGAAUUGGCCGAUGCGGCUAGCCAUCCUCUAGUACGAAUGACUCAGUUUAUUAAUGCUCUGCACAAGAUGGCUCCUUCACUUGCCAGCAGCCUUAAGCAGUAUUUCAUUAAAACUGGCUUAAUUAUUUUUAAAAGACGGCCCAAUUAAAAGCUAUACAUACUUUGUAUGUGUGUGUUUAUAUAUAGAGCUGUAUAUAUAAUAUAUAUUUCUAAGCCUGUGUAUGUGUUAUAUAUAUAUAUAUAUAUAUAUAUAUAUAUACUUAGCAAUUUAAUUAUAUGGCAUAAAUUGUUGGAAAAAUACCCGGGAGCUGGCCCCCUUUCUGUUGCUAGAUUCAGACUAGAGGCCACCCUGUGAGGGGGUGGCGUUGGUGGCUUCUCAAUGACUCCACAGUGGAAGUCCCAGCUGCGCAGAGAGCCCUGCCCCAGCGUCAGGGCCCCAAAGCUUUGGGAGAGGCAGGUUCUGACCUCCGCUCUCCUCUUGGGAUGCUCCUUUCCUGUCCCAACAGCACAGAGGGGCUUGAGCUGGGGAAUGCUGGGGGAAGGUGUCCUUGCCAAAAGAGACAUGGAGUUGGGGCUUUUGUUUCUGGAGCUGGCUGUCGAGCUCUCCUAAUGAGCAAAUAUGUUCUCUUUAAGGAAACAAACAAACAAAGCAAAAACACUAAUUCAUCUGGAUUUUAUUCAUUUGUUUUAAAUACAAACAAACAAAAGGAGAGGGGAGAAGUGGUUAUUUCUGCACCAACUAUUUCAAAUGCAAGUUCCUCUGUCGCUCGGGGUGUUUGGAUGGUGCUUGUCACCAUAGGACCCACAGGGCUAGUUCCAGCCGUUAUUCGGUAAGGCUUUUUUUCUUUCCAAAAUUCCCAGCGUUCCUUUAAGGCCCAUUUAGCUGCGGGUUUUGUUUAUUCUCCCGGCAAUCAGCAUUUAAAAUAAGACAAACAAGCAUUUUUUCCUGGGCUGUGAAUCCCUGCUGGCCUGCCUCCACCCGCACACCUGAAGCCAAUGUGUCCAAUUGAAUUUCUUCGUAACCCGCAUCCCCUUCGGAGACCUGCCCCCUCCGUAUACCAACGUGGAAAUAGAGAACUUAAGCAGGGCAAAUGUAAUUUUAAGAAUUGCUAAUGAUGCUGGAAAUCUGCAAUGCAAUUAGCAUCAUUGGAUUUGUCGCUCCUCCGCUCCUCCGAAGGCACGGUCCUCGUCAUACCGCUGUGGCAGCGGCGCCUCCGCGUGGGCCUGGGCGCCCCGGGUAUGCUGGCAGCGCUUAUGCACCAAAAUAUGAACAUUUGGUUAGGCUUCCUCUCUUUCUCUCUCUCAGCAACUGACUUCUUUGUCUCCUUCCUUGGUUGCAGGGGGAUGGAUUGUUUUCCAUUGGUUAUAUCCUUAGCAUUCAGUCCUCAGGGGACUCACUCACUCUGUUUUCUAAGUAAGUGGGACCCCCUCUUUGUGACCUCAUUUUGCCGUCUUGGAUUUUAGGGCUUCCCUUCACCAGCGUUCCCCCUAUGCUGGAACCCCAGUAAUUCUUGGUGCCUCAGCAGUGGUGAAAGCCACCCCCCCCCCCCCCCCCCCAUUACUCACCCUACGUUAUACUUUCCUUUCUAUACUUUCCUUUCUCUCUCUCUCUUUUAUCUUCUCUAACUUCCAUUUCUUUACUACCCUCUAUGGCUCAGAAGUAGUAUGAAGGAGAGUUAAAAAUAGGGAGAUGGAGGGAGCCAGAGGGAGAGAGAGAGUGAGAAAGCAGAAAAAGAGAAAACGAAUUAUUGGAUUCAAAAUAAACCUUUAUUUUUUCAUAGGCGAAUUAUUUUUGCUCCUUGAAAAAACUAACAUGGGCCAGGCACGGAAAACCAUGUGAUAGCUGGGUAAGCCGUUGCAGAAUCCAGAAGAUGAUCUUAAGGUGUCUGUUCAGUUUAGCAAAGGUUUCUACUCUGGGGAUCCUCUUUCAGAUCCAGGGGCCCAAAUCAGAAGCUUGUAGAGGGGAGCUAUUCUUCCAAGAUUCCAGAUGUGUCUGCGAGACAACACGUUAUGGGGCAAAUUGAUUUCACCCUUGGGAAACUGGAGAUUUUUCAAAGUUAUGUCUGCAAAGCCAGCUAAUGCAUUUCCCCAUUAGUGCAUUAAAGUGUGCCCUUAUUAAUUCAAACAUAAAGGCAACAAAAUAAGCUGUUAAAUUUAAAAUAUAAUACAUAUAUAAUGAGGAGAAUGUGUGAAAGCCUUAUUCAAAUGAAAAUACAGGAGUGUUUGAACUACUGAGGUAUCUUUUGUAUUGAAUUAUGAGCAUAUGUAAUAGAUUUAAUUAUUAAUUUCCCCAUUGUUCUAUGCACACAGACAGGGUUCAAGGCACAGUCAUUCUCUGGCUUUCAUAGAUCUAAUUUGUAUAAUUAUUGCCUGAAUAAAGAAUUGCUCCAA
rnacentral:lncRNA from 1 species